rnacentral:rRNA from 1 species
CCUACGGGUGGCAGCAGUGAGGAAUAUUGGUCAAUGGACGAGAGUCUGAACCAGCCAAGUAGCGUGAAGGAUGACUUCCCUAUGGGUUGUAAACUUCUUUUAUAUGGGAAUAAAAUGUUCCACGUGCGGGAUUUUAUAUCUCCCAUAUGAAUAAGGAUCAGCUAACUCCGUGCCAGCAGCCGCGGUAAUACGGAGGAUCCGCGCGUUAUCCGGAUUUAUUGGGUUUAAAGGGAGCGUAGGUUGAUUGUUAAGUCAGUUGUGAAAGUUUGCGGCUCAACCGCAAAAUUGCAGUUGAAACUGGCAGUCUUGAGUACAGUAGAGGUGGGCGGAAUUCGUGGUGUAGCGGUGAAAUGCUUAGAUAUCACGAAGAACUCCGAGUGCGAAGGCAGCUUACUGGACUGCAACUGACAUUGAGGCUCGAAAGUGUGGGUAUCAAACAGGAUUAGAUACCCGAGUAGUC